rnacentral:rRNA from 1 species
GACGAACGCUGGCGGCGUGCUUAAUACAUGCAAGUCGAACGGACAGGCCCUGCUCUUGUGGGGUGCUCGUGUGGCGCACGGGUGAGUAACACGUGAGUAACCUGCCCUUGUAUUUGGGGUAACUUCAGGAAACAGGGGCUAUAACCCGAUAGGAUAUCCUGCUGCAUGGUGGGGGUUGGUAAGAUUCGGCGGUAGGGGCUGGAAUCGCUGCUUAUCAGCUUCUUGGUGAAGUAGUGACGUACAACGGCUGCGACGGGUAGCCGGCCUGAGAGGGGUAACGGCGACAAUGGGACUAAGAUACGGACCAGAAUCGUACGGGACGCAGCAGUGGGGAAUAUUGCACAAUGGGCGGAAGCCUGAUACAGCAACGCCGCGUGCGGGAUGACGGCCUUCGAGGUGUAAACCGCUUUCGCCGGUGACGAAGCGUGAGUGACGGUAAUGAGUAAGGAAGCACCGGCUAACUACGUG